rnacentral:rRNA from 1 species
CCUACGGGUGGCAGCAGUGGGGAAUAUUGGACAAUGGGCGAAAGCCUGAUCCAGCCAUGCCGCGUGUGUGAAGAAGGCCUUCGGGUUGUAAAGCACUUUCAGUGGGGAAGAAAGCCUUGGGGCUAAUACCCUCGAGGAAGGACAUCACCCACAGAAGAAGCACCGGCUAACUCCGUGCCAGCAGCCGCGGUAAUACGGAGGGUGCGAGCGUUAAUCGGAAUUACUGGGCGUAAAGCGCGCGUAGGCGGUCUGAUAAGCCGGUUGCGAAAGCCCCGGGCUCAACCUGGGAACGGCAUCCGGAACUGUCAGGCUAGAGUGCAGGAGAGGAAGGUAGAAUUCCCGGUGUAGCAGUGAAAUGCGUAGAGAUCGGGAGGAAUACCAGUGGCGAAGGCGGCCUUCUGGACUGACACUGACGCUGAGGUGCGAAAGCGUGGGUAGCAAACAGGAUUAGAUACCCCUGUAGUC